rnacentral:lncRNA from 1 species
GCAGUUAGAGAAAAUCAAAAGUCUCCCUAAUACAAGAAGGUCUAUAUCAAGAUGCUAAAACAACAAAUGGAACAGGUGCGCUUGUGUAUACAUAAGAAACUUAAUCUUGCUAAUAACAUCUAUUACAGAAAUUUGAUCAUCUUCAAAAAUCAGCUUGUUCCUAGACAGCCAGAUGCAGUAGACUGUAAUUGCUAUAAUCAGACAACACAAUUUUCCUUGAACACCUGAUGUGGAUAUGUCCCUAAUUAAAGAGUCAAUAAUGCGCUGUGAAGAAGUGAA